rnacentral:rRNA from 1 species
GCGAGCGUUAAUCGGAAUUACUGGGCGUAAAGCGCAUGCAGGCGGCCUGUUAAGUCAGAUGUGAAAGACCCGGGGCGUUAACCUCGGAAAUUGCAUUUGAAACUGGCAGGCUAGAGUCUUGUAGAGGGGGGUAGGAAGUUUCAGGUGUAGCGGUGAAAUGCGUAGAGAUCUGAAGGAAUACCAGUGGCGAAGGCGGCCCCCUCGGACAAAGACUGACGCUCAGAUGCGAAAGCGUGGGGAGCAAACAGGAUUAGAUACCCUGGUAG